UUCCAGCAGCGAGUCCUUUGGCCACAACCUGACAGUCAACUUUUUCUCACUGUUACUGAUAUCGCCAAACCUCCAAGGGAACUACACCUGUUUAGCCUUGAAUCAGCUCAGCAAGAGACAUCGAAAGAUCCCCCUCCAUCAGCUCCCCAGUGCUGGGCACAGAUGGCAUCAGGAUCGUUCAUGUUGCAGCUUACCUGUCGCUGGGAUGGGGGAUACCCUGACCCUGACUUCCUGUGGAUAGAAGAGCCAGGAGGUGUAAUCGUGGGGAAGUCAAAGCUGG
rnacentral:lncRNA from 1 species